AUUUCUUCCUCCUCCGCCCAUUCGACAAUGACCUCUUUCAGUUUUGACACACUGAGCUACCAUUCACAACAUCCUCCGAUACAGCGGGACAAGGCGGAGAUGAUUCCACCCAAAAUCCUCUGCACCAUCUCAUAGGAAGCCUCUGACGGCGUGGUAAGAGAGAGUGUGGAUGGAUCCGAUUGAUGCUCUCCAGGAUGCAAUCGAAUCCUUAACUCUUCAAUGCGUUGAUCUCUCAGGUGAUUUCCGAUUGUUUGUGUGAGAUGCGUUCCUGGUCAGGCUAGCUCGAGAGAUCACCCUUUGGUACCGAGCUUGGAGAAGCUGAAACAAUUGGACGUUGAUUGAGGAUUUUGAUAGGAUAUCAGAGCUGUGUGGAUUGAAUGAGGAAUGGGCCAUAAUUGCGUUAAGAAAUGGGGGAUUGGAAUUGCUCUGUUAUCUCCGUUCCGAGAUUCCGAGUGAUUGCGAGCGUGCCGUUGCUUCCGCUUUAAAGGCUAUGGGGGCUACUACUUCAAGGUAAUGUCAAUUAUAUCAACGCGUGCCAUUGAAGGCAAAGCUGGAGAUCUUGCUAUUCAAGCUAUGCAGAAGUUCCCUUCACCUCAACUAAUGCAAAGGGGCUCGCGUGUCACUUGAUACGAGUCCUGUAGUCAGGAACCCACUGUACAGGGCUCUCUCAAACUAUUUUCUUACAUGUCUCUUACUAUAUUCUAUUGAUAUUAGCACUGCAUAUCUUAAGCUAUUCUUCAUUAAUGUUAGCAAUCACAUGUUUCAAAACUAUUCUCCAUUGAUGUUAGCAGCAUUACAUGUUUCAAAUUAUUGUGAGUUAAGAUGGUGAAGUUGAGAUAUCUCAACACUCGAAUCAACCAGAGGGAAUCAAAA